rnacentral:rRNA from 2 species
UUACCGAGUGAGGGCCCUCUGGGUCCAACCUCCCACCCGUGUCUAUCGUACCUUGUUGCUUCGGCGGGCCCGCCGUUUCGACGGCCGCCGGGGAGGCCUUGCGCCCCCGGGCCCGCGCCCGCCGAAGACCCCAACAUGAACGCUGUUCUGAAAGUAUGCAGUCUGAGUUGAUUAUCGUAAUCAGUUAAAACUUUCAACAACGGAUCUCUUGGUUCCGGCAUCGAUGAAGAACGCAGCGAAAUGCGAUAAGUAAUGUGAAUUGCAGAAUUCAGUGAAUCAUCGAGUCUUUGAACGCACAUUGCGCCCCCUGGUAUUCCGGGGGGCAUGCCUGUCCGAGCGUCAUUGCUGCCCUCAAGCACGGCUUGUGUGUUGGGCCCCCGUCCCCCUCUCCCGGGGGACGGGCCCGAAAGGCAGCGGCGGCACCGCGUCCGGUCCUCGAGCGUAUGGGGCUUUGUCACCUGCUCUGUAGGCCCGGCCGGCGCCAGCCGACACCCAACUUUAUUUUUCUAAGGUUGACCUCGGAUCAGGUAGGGAUACCCGCUGAACUUAAGCAUAUCAAUAAGCGGAGGAAAAGAAACCAACAGGGAUUGCCUCAGUAACGGCGAGUGAAGCGGCAAGAGCUCAAAUUUGAAAGCUGGCCCCUUCGGGGUCCGCGUUGUAAUUUGCAGAGGAUGCUUCGGGUGCAGCCCCCGUCUAAGUGCCCUGGAACGGGCCGUCAUAGAGGGUGAGAAUCCCGUCUGGGACGGGGUGUCUGCGUCCGUGUGAAGCUCCUUCGACGAGUCGAGUUGUUUGGGAAUGCAGCUCUAAAUGGGUGGUAAAUUUCAUCUAAAGCUAAAUACUGGCCGGAGACCGAUAGCGCACAAGUAGAGUGAUCGAAAGAUGAAAAGCACUUUGAAAAGAGAGUUAAACAGCACGUGAAAUUGUUGAAAGGGAAGCGUUUGCGACCAGACUCGCCCGCGGGGUUCAGCCGGCAUUCGUGCCGGUGUACUUCCCCGUGGGCGGGCCAGCGUCGGUUUGGGCGGCCGGUCAAAGGCCCUCGGAAUGUAUCACCUCUCGGGGUGUCUUAUAGCCGAGGGUGCAAUGCGGCCUGCCUGGACCGAGGAACGCGCU